UACAGAGGGUGCAAACGUUGCUCGGAAUUAUUGGGCGUAAAGCGCAUGUAGGCGGCAUAGUAAGUUCGCUGUGAAAGCCCUUGGCUCAACCAAGGAAGUGCAGCGAAAACUGCUAAGCUCGAGUUCUGAAGAGGGUCGCGGAAUGGCCAGUGUAGAGGUGAAAUUCGUAGAUAUUGGGUAGAACACCAGUGGCGAAGGCGGCGACCUGGGAAGAUACUGACGCUGAGAUGCGAAAGCGUGGGGAGCAAACAGG
rnacentral:rRNA from 1 species